rnacentral:lncRNA from 1 species
CGCUCGGCUCUUGGAUACAGUGUGUGCUUUAAAAGCUCAGCUUCUUUUUCUUAGGUUCUCCAUGGCAACUGCAUCAGCACCCCAUGAAUAAAUUACCUCUCUGACACAACAUCGCUUAUUAGAAUAGAGAAAAUGCCAUUUCUGAGUCAUGUCUUUCUGAUGGGGCCUUUUGUCUCUUCCUUCAUUCUUCUGUCUGCCCAGUUCUCUGUGUGAAGAGAAAGUCAGCCAGACAGUUUGCCUUGGGGUGAGCAGAAUGUCCCUCUCCAGGCCAUGGGUGACUUCAAAGGGCAGUGAGAGUUUCCUGUGCUGGCCUUAGUGUGGAGGAUGCCAUGGUAGGGAACAGACACUGUGGGUUGGCUUGCUUGUCUACAACCCUUUUCUUAAACCUAGUCCUCUACGGCUCUUGAAUUAACCUCCCCUCCAUCACCCACAUACGCAUCCUGCAGUUCUCAGUUAGUCUCAUCUUUAUCCCUCCUAAGUGUUGUCCUGCCACAACAUUGCAGAGGGGAGAUCGUUUCGUCACGCAGAAAUGUUUGUGCUGAAUCAUAAUAGCAGGCCCUCCAAGUGUCCCUAGUUUCCAGUGACUGUCCUGAAUUUACAGAAGCAGUCCCAGUUUCUCGCUUGAUCCUGGAAUGUCCCGCUUUUCCAUAGGACAUCCCUAUUUUCUUCAGAGGAAUGUUGGAGGGCAUGGAGUUAUGUGACCCCUGAGCCAAGAAGAUAAGUAACUAUACAGACUUUAGAAGACAUCUGAAGGCAGCCCUGUAUAGGGGAGUUUUUUCAUGUUUCAUGUUUUAUUAUGUUUUUAUAUAUGUUGGAAGCCGCCCAGAGUGGCUGGGGCAACCUAGUCAUAUGGGUGGGGUAUAACAACAAUAACAACAGCAUCCUCCCCAUCCCAUUUUUCUUUUGUGUCAUAUCUUUUAGGUUGCAAGCCUGUGGGAAGGAACUGCCUUAUUUUUAAUUGAUUGUACAUGAAUCAAUUGAGAGACCUGUGUGUAAGUAGGUGUGCUUUUUCUAGUCUCAGGAUUCCAGGUUAAUCGGUGUUGACUACAAAUGAAAGAUUGGAACUCUGCACAGAGAACUGUCCCAUUUGACAGUUUUCAGCCUGUUGUGAGCUAAAAGUUCAGAAUGUCAGGAGGAGAAAAUUGGGGGAAGAAUGCUGCAGUUAAAUGUUGCAAUAGAAGCACUUCAGUAACUCAGUGGAAUUGUUUGUUUGGGAGGUAUUGUGUGUCAUAUUGUGCAUUCUGAGUUGUUGCAAUCAUCACAGUGGCAGACCAAUUUGUUUAAACUGUCUGUCCUGUUGCUACUAAGUGAGAGCAAGGGCCUAAUUUUAAGGUUGCAAUGGGUAAGGAGAGUUGAACCUCCCUGCAGCAUAACUCCCAACAAUUCAUUGCCAUCUCCCACCCCAAAACUGGCCUCUGAUGUCAGAAGCCAGCUCACAUACCUGGGAGAGGGCUGCUAGGAGGUGAGUUUGGGGACGGCUCAUCUCCAACCUGUGCACACAUUUUGCACUUAAAAGCAAUGCUCCCAUUAUGUAGGGAACAAAAUGCAUAAGCCUCACCAGCUGAGUCCCCACCCCAGUUUUAGCUAAUCACACCCUCCAACACUCUAACAAGACAGUAACUAAGAGGGCCAUUUGAAACCAGAAGAGGGUAGCCUCUGAAUUUGAGCACUGCUUAAAAUCUGAAACAGUCUCCCAUUGUCAUGUGCAGCUUUUGCUUCAAAUUUCUCCAUCUGUGAUUAAUUACUGAACCUUAAUGGCUUUUCGCAUCUAUGAUCAAACAAACUGGUGAGAGGCAAAAAGCUGGAUUCUGUGACCUUUGCUAGAGAUUAAAAUUCAAUAAAAUAAUAAUAGUGGUGAGAAUACCAAGGCAUUUGACUCCUAUCUCCUUCAACUUACCAAGUGUGCAGUCCUACCAAAACAUUCUCCUGGGUUUCAGCCAAAAUGUUUCACCCCUGCAGGCUUAUAUUUUUUUCCUUUCCUCCAUGUUAUAUUCCAUACAAUUUUGUACAGUUAUAAAUGAUGCCUUUGAAAUUCCCUGUAACCUAGGUGGGGUUUACUAUUUUUAUUAAUAAUAAUUCUGAAUCUUAUAUUAACUCAAACAGAUAAAGCAGGGAACUGAAGUACCGUACAUGUCACAAAAACAAAUACAAACAAUAGCUCCCCUUGUUCCUACCAUAAUUAUAUAAGACACAAAUCUGGGAACACACAAAAGUAGGGAAGAAAAAGGCUGUGGAUAGCAAUAGAGCAGUUGAACUAAGUUUAUUAUUGACAUCACCACCAUACUUCCAGUUUAGAAGAGCAUUUCCAUUCCAUAAAGAGGAUGAUUUUUUUUUUGCAGAUUGCAACCAUUCUGUACGUCAUGGGUAGCCAACAUGGCAACUUCCAUCAUUCCUUGACUAUUGGUGAUGCUAGAUGAGGCUGAUGGGAUUUGGAACUCAACCACAUCUAGGAGGCCACAGGUUUCCCACCCCUGACAUUACACCUUCCUUUCCAUUUGGGGCAUUGUCUGGCGGUUCAUUCAAAGUAGGUGAAAGAAACAGAUUAAACUCAAGAGGCUGAAUUUUCAUAGGUAGACAAUUAGGUCUUAUAACAUAUUCGUGCAAGCAGGCUCUGGCUGGAGACCACUCAGUUCAUCCCUAGCAUGGUUCUUUCUACACUAGAGAUUAAAAACAUCCCAAGGUAAAGACGAUUUCUCCCUCAGUUGUGUUCCACCUGCAAAAUGCCACAUGGUGGGGCUGUUGCAAGGCAUCCUUGCCUUGGCUGGAAUAUAUUUGUAAGAUUUAUUUAUUUAUUGCUCAAUAAAUACUGAGCAGGGUUGUUGUUGUAGAUGUGUUGUUGGCAAGAGGCUGUUUCAAGGUCUUACUCUUGAAAUUUGCUAUUUUUGAGCUCUGUAUAAGCCUAACUCAGCUAUUGUGGGAGCAGCAGCCAGGAGAAGGUGUGUAUGAAGGAAUAGAGAACGAUCCUCUUAUACUAGAAUGUCAAGAAGGAAAGAGAAAGGGCCUUUCUUUGGAAUGGAUGCCAAACAGAAUAGAACUGGGAGGGAGAGAAAGGUGGAGUGAGUUGCUAAGAAGUUCCCACACUUGUCAUUUCAGAAACAAACAUCAGAAACAGUGUCUGAUUUCUCUCUCUUUCCAACAGUUCCGAGAUAACAUGUCAUGUUGAAGAUGGGUUUCUUCUGUCUUGGAGUUUGGACCCACAGUAUCAAGGCCCUGACCAUCCAUACACACUGAGCCUGGAAUUAUUCUCCAACUCAAGAUUCCUGAAGUCAAGGACAGGGGCAGAAAAUGCUGUUUCUCAUGCUUUUGCUAGGAAGGACAAACCCAAGGAUGAGGAAUCUGUUGGUGGAGUUCAGCUUCCACCAUUCUUGCCCAUUGGCUAUGCUGACUGGGACGGAUGGGAUUUAGAGUCCAAGAACAUCUGAAGGGUACCAUGUUGGCUAACUCUGCUGUAUACUAUAUGCUUAAUCAACUGGCGACCACAGAGUUCCAGCUAGGUAAAUGCAGGAAAGAUAGCUACUCCUGUUUUUAAUCAGUGCAGGUUUUAUAGAGAAACCUCACUGAGUCUUUGGGGAGACUGGACUGGAACUUGCCACAGCAGUGGCCUGCAUGUCUUUGAUUUCCCAAGUCUUUUUAAACACCGGCACUCCCUGGCACCCCCCCCCCCCAAAUCCAUACAGCAAUUGUGAGUCUGAAAACUAUGAAUGAUUGCCAGCUGCUAGUUGCAAUCUUCAGAAAUGUGCCAAUUCAUCCUUCCUCUCCUCUCUUUGUUAAAUCCUAUCCCUCCCCUCCUCCGCCCCAUCUUAAGAGCAUGGAAUACAAAAAAGCUGCCUUCUACCAAGUCAGACCCCUGGUCCAUCUAGUUUAGUAUUGCAUACACUGACUGGCAGCAGCCCUCCAAGAUUUGAGGCAGGGGACAUUCCCAGCCCUAGCUGGAGAUGCUGGGAGGAUUGAACCUGGGACCUUUUUGAGCUUCUUGUGUACACACAGUGUAGAAUUUGCCCUGGAUGUAGAUUCUGAAAUAUAGCCCUUUCUCCAGAGAGUUAGGAAUAUGCAAGACACAGCUGUAGAGGAGGAAACUGCUUCCAAGAAUAAAAUUCCUGGUAAACAUUCCUGUAUUGCUUUAAUUAAAGCACAACUCAGCUCACAACAUCAGAAGAACAGAGGAAUGAAAGGGGAGCACCCACUGAUGCCUGUUAUGCUGCUACAGUAUGGUGGGGGGACCUGAAUAUUCAGGAGUUUGCAUUUGUGAUUUGCUUUCUUCUGAUAAAGCACUUAAGCUUUUUGCACAACACUGCAAGACUUGUGGCUUUUAGGAGCACAAUUACCCCUGCUUCGUUCUCAUUCGGACUCCUUCCAGUGGCAGAUAGCAGAGUUGCUGGCAGCACUAUAUUCUUGCUGCUGAACAUCCUUUGUAACGACACUGACAUUAACAGCAGCGCUCGCCCCUUUGUAUCCCUUCUGAUGGUGCCACUUAUCAACUGGACUUAAAAGAGCCUGGGACAAGCCACUGCGUCAGCUAAUGGAAAGCCACUUUUCCGAAGAAUUGCUUCGGAGCAGGUGCAGGGGGCUAGGGUCUUGUUGGUGUAAAUCAGUUUAUCUCUCAGUUUAUCUCAAUGGGUUUCGCUCAGGUAUAGGUACAGAUUGGGUUGUCAGUGGCUCAUGGAGGGUGCAUUCAAAGAAAAAGAGGGAAGGUAAUAGUUCAUUUUUGUUUGGAAAACAGAUUUAGCAGCAGGGGUCUAAAGACUGCUACCACUGUUACUCCGGCUCAUUGUGGAAUUGUUCACCUAACCUCUGCAUCUGGCCUGCCUGCAAAUCCCUGGAAGCAUUUGGAAGGGCCUUAGCUCAGGGAAUGGCCAUUGUGCAAUGGCAGAAGCUCUCAGUAUCUGUCCCUGGUAUCUGUAGGUAGGGCUGGGAAAGAUUCCUGCCAGUCAGCAUAAACCAGGGCAUCUUCAAACAUGCAGUUAGACAUGUUUUGUGCAGUGUCUUUGUUAUUUUUUUCUUCCUUCUUGUCUCCUUCUCUCUUAAUUCUUAUUUUCUCUUCCCUCCUUCAUGUUUUUUUUCCCUUUUGGUUAAAAAAUGGUUUGGGUACAGGCAGUGUGCUGGCUGCUUGUGCAGUGGGGGGGGGGGAGAAGCUCAGAAUAGAACUGGUGUAAACCAGCCUUCUCCCAGACCUUCAUCAGUCCCAGUCUUGGAAGGCAGUUGUUGUAGACCAGAACAUCUGGAGGACACAUUUAAUGGCCUUGAUCUACUUAGGCAAAGUGAGCAGAGACCACAUUGGCUUGCCAAAUCUGAUGGCAGAAGAUGGACUUCCAUUUUCUGGAGGAGGUGAUGGAGGAGGCCACUGAAUAGGAGCAGAAGCAGUCUCAAAACCAUGAAAAACUCCUCAUCGGGAGCCUGAGGUAGAGUUAAACAAACUGAUUACCUUAGGCCCGGCUGCAGAGUCAUUGCUGGGCAACAUCUCCUCAGAGUAGCUCCUAUCACCAGCAGUAUGAUUUAGCUUUGAUUCCUGCAUUGGAGAGGAUUGGAUGAGAUGACCCUUGAGGUCCAACCAACCCUACAGUUCUAUGAUUCUCUGGUGCAGGGUCUGGAAUGACUCACAGAAUUCCUCAAGCAAGCCGGCAUCUGCUGGGAAAUGUAUGCCACUACACCUGCAACCUUGGCACUUGGAGACAUCUUGGUGGAAGCGUUCAAGGAAGGCUGCUGUAGACCAUACUAAGGUAGAUAAACCAGGGCUGAUAUGGGGUAAAUCAGCUUCCUGUGCUCCUUCUUCUGCCCCUCCAAAAUGAGAUAUAUUUUCUCAUGAGAUAUAUUUCAUACUUAUGAUCCUUGGGGUGACGGCAGGAGACCAGAACGGGCUAAAGUCCUGGGAAUAUGUGGACUGUCAGGACAGUGUACACACCUGAUCUAUGAAAUAGCAGUCACUGUUUUGUACCAGGUACUGCUUUGCUACAGUAGCAUAGUUCAGAGCAUUGAACACCCACCCACACCAAAUCUCAGUUCAGCCUUAAACAAACAAGUUGGUUUAAUAAAGUGUAUCAGCUUACCUGGGUUGUGUUUCUUCUACAAAGAGCUAAAAUAGGACCCCAUUAAUAGCCACAGCAGUGAUAGUGAUGCUGUCUGCCCACUGACAUUGACAGGCACCCAGUGACUUGUGGUGACUCAUCUGCAAGGCUGCUUUAGACAAGAGGGUUUGCAAGUUUGAGCUUAUGGAGGGUGAUAGCUGCAGUGUCAUCAUUGCUUAUGAGGCUGCACAUUCUCACACAGAUUCACAGGUCUCUUGAUUGAUUAAGCUGAUCCUUCCUGCCAUCACUUCCCUCAAGAGACUUUGGCACCAGCCGCCUUUGGCACCAACAGCCCCCAAAUCCCAUUUCCUUGCAAGACUGAGUUCACAAAGAAGCACUUCAUGUGGAUGGUGUAGUAAAUUAUUUGUUAUGGGAAUUUCGAUGAACUGAGAAGGGAAUAUUUGACUACUGAAUCUGAUCCAGCUCACUGAUCUUAUGACCAACCUAUUCCUUCAUGCAACAUGCAACCUGACUGUGUGCAUCUUUACUCCAAAGUAAGUCCCAGUGUGUUUAAUUAGGUUUUCUCCAAAGUACAUGUGCACAGGGUUGCAGUCUAAGGCUGUGUGCACAUGAAUGGCUUUAAAUGCUGUGAAGUCAUUUCCCCCCUGUUAUGUUUCAGGUUGCAUUUUAUGUUGCAGUCUACAUACGCCAGAAUCUAGGCCCUGCAGAAAACCUUACAUCUCUAACUAUGGUAGAUUUAUUGUUCUGCAUUUUAAGGAUUAUUACAUUAACUGCUGUGGUGUGGUUUUUUUAAUAGAGAAAGCAGGAUAUACAUUUUCCAUAUACAUAAACAAAAUUUUCUUAUUAGGUUGGUAAUUCUAAUUCUUCACACACGUCCAAAAUCUUAUUGCGAUGAGAAUUCUAAAAUAAUAAGAUGCUGGAUGGAGCUUAGAAGUUCAGCCUUACUCAAUGCAAUGUGAAGCGUUUUCCUGCAUUCACUCUCCAUCUCUGUGUGUCAUUUAAACGUAAGCAUACGUGGGAAGAUCAUUUUGACAUUUCACUUUUUGUCUGAAAAUGUCAAAGUUCUGCAAUGCAGUUGUCCAGCUUUUCAUCCUUCUAAAAGGGGUGGCGGCAAUGGAUCCCUUGUGAAAUCACAUCCCUUCUAUAAUGAUAAAAGAAUCUUGGAUGCACCAUCAUGGGUAAGCAAAAUAAUAUCUUAGUCCUGACACCAUGGUGACAAUAGCCUGGGAGUAACUUUGCCUGGGCACCCUUCAAAAUCUGCAGUUUGAAUAGAUUGCUAAAAAAAAUAUGUCAGAGAAAGACGGAGUGUGGGUGGAAGCUAAAAUACACCCACAGUUUGCCUCACACUUACAGAAGGCCUCAGAAAUUGCAAUAUUUUGAAAUGUGAUUUAUUGACUACAUCAGGAACAUGUCGACACUAAUUCCAAAACCUUUUGUUGUUAUAUUAGCUUGUGGAGUCAUGGAAUGGAAAUUAAUAUAUAUUUUCUGGCAGCUGGAGCUACACAUGGCAGAUUGCUGAAGGCUGUUGUGCUGUGGUUUGAUAAGGAAUCCCCAUAGAGAAAGCAGCAAGGCAGGCCAGAAGUUUCAGGACCACGGAUAGCUCCAAGUGAGCAACUUGCUUCACCUAGACCAGGGGUCUGCAACCUUUAAGACAAAAAGAGCCACUUGGACCCGUUUCCGAAGAAAAAAAAACUGGGAGCCGCAAAACUCGUCAUUAUAAAAAUAACUUUUUUGUCACUUUUUUAUUAUUUCUUUGUUUGACCCCUCAGAAUUACUCCUCCUCAUAGAAAUAAACGUUAAAUUAACAAGUUACCUUUGUGUGUGUGUGUGUGUGUGUGUGUGUGUGUGUGUGUUCUUCACUCCCCUUCAUAACAGUGACCAGCGUACAUGCCCCCUUUCAAUGCAGUGACCAGCGUACAUGGCCC